UACGGGGGGGUCAAGCGUUGUUCGGAAUUACUGGGCGUAAAGGGCUCGUAGGCGGCCAACUAAGUCAGACGUGAAAUCCCCAGGCUCAACCUGGGAACUGCGUCUGAUACUGGAUGGCUUGAAUCCGGGAGAGGGAUGCAGAAUUCCAGGUGUAGCGGUGAAAUGCGUAGAUAUCUGGAGGAAUACCGGUGGCGAAGGCGGCAUCCUGGACCGGCAUUGACGCUGAGGAGCGAAAGCUAGGGGAGCAAACGGG
rnacentral:rRNA from 1 species